rnacentral:tRNA from 1 species
GCCUCUGUGGUCUUGUGGUAGAAGCUUCGUUUCAUAACCCAGAGGUCCCGGGUUCGAUUCCCGGGUGGGACC